GUGCUCACUUCAGCAGCAUAAAUACUAAAAUUGGAAUGAUACAGAGAUUAGCAUGGCCCCUGUGCCAGACUGUUACGCAAAUUCAUGAAUGAUUCUAUAGUUUA